UAUGUGAUCGUCUCUCGCAUAUCAAUAAGCGGAGGAAAAGAAACUAACAAGGAUUCCCCUAGUAACGGCGAGUGAAGCGGGAAGAGCUCAAAUUUGAAAUCUUAAAGGGUUUCCCUUUACGAAUUGUAGUUUAAAGAAGUGUUUUCUGUUGAGGUUUUGGUAAAAGUUCUUUGGAAUAGGACAUCAUAGAGGGUGAGAAUCCCGUAUUUGACCUUUACUUUCAACUUUGUGAUACACUUUCAAAGAGCCGGAUUGUUUGGGAAUGCAGUCCAAAAUGGGUGGUAAAUUUCAUCUAAAGCUAAAUAUUGGCGAGAGACCGAUAGCGAACAAGUACCGUGAGGGAAAGAUGAAAAGAACUUUGAAAAGAGAGUUAAACAGUACGUGAAAUUGUCAAAAGGGAAGCGUUUGACACCAGUGUUGUUUUUCUGAAAAUCAAUUAAAGAACUGUUUAUGCUAAGUUGUUUAGACUUUAUCAGCUAUCUGUUUAGUUUUGAGCUUUUCUUUAAUGCACUUUUCAGUUAACAAGUCAACAUCAAUCUCUUUUGCUGUAAAAAAGCUUGAGGAAGGUGGCUUGAGAUUCGUCUUAAGUGUUUAUAGCCUCUUGCCUAUGCAGUCGGAGAGAUUGAGGUCUGCAGCGUAGAUCCUUCGGGGCUAAAUGCAUUUGUGCUAAGUUAUAGCAUUUUAUAGACAACUUGUUGACUAUGAUUUGUCUUGUAGCUUACUCGCUUGUGUUAUUUUACCUACGCUUAGGAUGUUGAUAUCGCGCUCUCACUG
rnacentral:rRNA from 1 species